AGUGAACGCUGGCGGUAGGCCUAACACAUGCAAGUCGAACGGCAGCACAGUAAGAGCUUGCUCUUACGGGUGGCGAGUGGCGGACGGGUGAGGAAUACAUCGGAAUCUACUUUUUCGUGGGGGAUAACGUAGGGAAACUUACGCUAAUACCGCAUACGAUCUACGGGUGUAAGCAGGGGAUAUUCGGACCUUGCGCGAAUGAAUGAGCCGAUGUCGGAUUAGCUAGUUGGCGGGGUAAAGGCCCACCAAGGCGACGAUCCGUAGCUGGUCUGAGAGGAUGAUCAGCCACACUGGAACUGAGACACGGUCCAGACUCCUACGGGAGGCAGCAGUAGGGAAUAUUGGACAAUGGGCGCAAGCCUGAUCCAGCCAUACCGCGUGGGUGAAGAAGGCCUUCGGGUUGUAAAGCCCUUUUGUUGGGAAAGAAAAGCAGCAGGUUAAUACCCCGCUGUUCUGACGGUACCCAAAGAAUAAGCACCGGCUAACUACGUG
rnacentral:rRNA from 1 species